rnacentral:rRNA from 1 species
UACGAAGGGGGCUAGCGUUGCUCGGAAUCACUGGGCGUAAAGGGUGCGUAGGCGGGUUUUUAAGUCAGGGGUGAAAUCCUGGAGCUCAACUCCAGAACUGCCUUUGAUACUGAGAAUCUUGAGUAUGGGAGAGGUGAGUGGAACUGCGAGUGUAGAGGUGAAAUUCGUAGAUAUUCGCAAGAACACCAGUGGCGAAGGCGGCUUACUGGCCCAUAACUGACGCUGAGGCACGAAAGCGUGGGGAGCAAACAGGG